rnacentral:hammerhead_ribozyme from 1 species
AUUCAACUGACGAGUCCCAAAUAGGACGAACUGCCGCAUACUCUGGAU